GUCUGGCUGGCUCAGUCAGUACAGCAUGAGACUCUUGAUCUCAGGGUUGUGAGUUCAAACCCCACAUUGGGCA
rnacentral:tRNA from 1 species